ACCUCAUUCAUUGUAGAGCAGCAGUGGCAGAAACCGAGACGGGCAGAGGGAUGGAGCUGUACAGGCAGUACGUACGCCUCACCAGAACUAUUCUUUCUACACAUUUUUAUGAAACCUGUGUCUCAUUCCUACUCAUUCCUUAUCCAUUUCAUCAUGGCAGAACAGAGUUGGAACAUGCAAACAGGAUCUCUCUUGGAAGAAACCAAGCCAGAAGACAUACUCCAAGGGACCUGCUAAUGUUUUCCAGCUGCUGUUGGGCAUUCAGUUCACGGGACCACACUUGAGGUGGUUUCAUGCUGUUGAAGGCACGUUUAUGGAAAGUGAGCAAUGAAGUGCAAGCUAGUUGGAUGCAGUUAAAAAUAGAAGGAUGGUAAAGCCCUUCACUUUUUCCAAAGUAUCAGUUGUAUCCUUCACUAAUACAGAUGAUGUCUGUCUUACAUACUGCUCUGGUUUUAUAGCGCUAUGAAGUCCUUCAAGUAAAAUGCAGAAGAAGUAAGCAAUAACAAGCACUGCAUGGUUUGUAGUAAAUGACUGUGUUACUGGGACGCUGCCCCUCCUGGAGAGAUGCAGAGAUGGGCUGUGCACAGCCUGUCCUGUCUGGGGUGGGAACUGCUCAUCCCCACUGAUGCCAAGCUCAGCCUUGCAUCGGUCACUGCCUCACUGAGUCAGACUGAAUCGCACGAGUUUAAAAACACAGGUGCAUGGUUGUCCUUUGGGGCCAUGGGUAAUAGAAGCAUGCUCUCUGCCUUUUAAACGUGAUGACAAAAGUUGUUCCAGGUCUCCUUAACCACCUGGAUAGCAAGUCUAACUUAAAGCAAAGGCAGACUGCGUGGCUUUCUGGAAAGAGGCAUUUUCCAAUCCAGAAUCUGGUUUCUUGAUUGAAGUAAAUUUUUAAAAGUGCUGUUUGUUUGCUUUUAUAAUAUCUAGAACAGCUUUUGGAUGCAUAGCCAUUCUGCAUGGCCUGUAAGAUGUGAAAAUUUUGUUUAAUUGGGAAGGAUGUCAUGUUUUUAUCCCUAUGCUAAGGUACGUUUUGGAUUUUACAAGGUUUUCUUCACUUCAAGAUAUGUGCAAUAUGUAAAAAAUUUCCUAAUUUAGAGAUAAGUCCUGAGAAGCACUAUAGGAGCUGAGUGGCUAAAUUCAAUAAACAGAUGCUAGCAAUGAAUCAUGAUAGUUGUAGUCAUAAAAUAAUUCAGACAUAUUUCCAGAAAAGACACCAUGCAUUUACCUAAACAGAGUGCACAUAUCUUCAUGGUGUGUAUACAAAAGAGCGUCUCACCCUUAAGCAUCACUGCAUAUAUACACAGGAAGGAGAUGCAGAACGACACUAUAUAAAUGGGGUUGUAUUUUGUCUCUCUGUGCUGUGCUCCAUCUUUUGUCAGAAGAUAAAUUACCACUGGAACACUGCUGCAGAAUGGAAUUCCUGGCUUGCCACUUUCUGCAAGCUGGCCUUUUUUUAAUAGAAAAAACAAACCAACAAACAAACUUGAUAUUGUGCUAUGAAGGUCUGGCUGUGUUACACACUUCCCAGUGGGCAGGUCACUUAGUGGAAAACACUCGGAAAACUAUGUGAAGGGUUUCUGAACUCUCGUACCUCCUGUACCCCUACUUCUCCCAUGGGUUCUGGGCUGUGUUUUCAAAGAAAUACUUGUCUCGUGCUACCCUUCUCAAUAAUUGUCAAUUCACUGGUAUCAAGGGCUCAUGACUUGGCAUCUGAGGUGCAGAAGCUGAUGAGGUAGCACUGACUUUAUUCAAGCAAGAAGGGAGUGAGUUGUGCAAGAGCUCGUCUUGCAAAGCAGCUAAAGGCCAUGCAGCGUGGUGCUUUUCAAAGCAAUAGUAUAAUAUAGUUUUGACAUGCUAAUUAUUCCAUAUAUAACCAAUAAGAAAUACAUGCUGCUCUGCACCUGGUUUGCCAGAGAAGCUCAGUAGUGCUUUACCUAGUCUGAAUGUGGAAGCAGCAGAAACUGUCUUUUGAGGAAGCAGAAACUGAGACAUAGGGCUGAGUGGAAGGCAUCAGGUGUGGAAAUGGUCACUGAAGACUGGUGGCAGGACGAGGUGUCCUAUACCUGCAGUUGCAGCACUGAACCCCUUAUACAGAGCUCCACAUUGAAUUUUUGAACCAGCUGGCCACAGGACUGGAGCUCUUGAAAAUAACUAAGCGCUACAAGAUCUGUAAAAAAUUGGUGACCAGAUAGAUCAGAGUAACUCGGUGCCCUGACUGAUGCCAAGCCUGC